AUGCAACAAAUGGCGCUAUCUGCGUUCGUCACGACCCCCUCCUCAUCCUAUAACAUUAACUUACCGGGGUUGACUGCCCACCGGUCUCAAAGAUGGCGCGCGAGACGCCUGCGCAGCCAAGUUCGAGCGCAGGCACAACAAGAGUUGCAGUAUAAGAAGCUUGGAGAUUCAGACCUUCUUAUCAGCGAGAUUACUCUUGGAACAAUGACUUUUGGGGAGCAAAACACAGAGAAGGAAGCACAUGAUAUGCUUUCUUAUUCUUUUGAUCAGGGCAUCAAUAUCCUGGACACUGCGGAAAUGUACCCAGUUCCAACAAAGAAGGAAACUCAAGGCAGGACUGAUCUAUAUAUAGGCAGGUGGAUGCAAUCCAAGCCACGAGACAAGGUGAUUCUAGCCACCAAAGUUUCUGGUUAUUCAGGGCGAUCUACUUAUCUUCGGGAUAAUGCAGAGGUGGUACGUGUCGAUGCCGCCAAUAUCAAGGAAAGUGUUGAAAAGAGUCUUUCACGUUUAUCUACAGACUACAUUGAUUUGCUUCAGAUACACUGGCCCGAUAGGUAUGUGCCAAUAUUCGGUGGAUUCAGUUAUAAUUCAACCAAAUGGAGGCCAAGCGUUCCAUUUGAGGAUCAAUUGAAAGCUUUCCAGGAGCUAAUUGAUGAAGGAAAGGUACGCUAUAUCGGUGUUUCCAAUGAAACCUCCUAUGGAGUAAUGGAGUUUGUACAGGCUGCCAAACUUCAAGGACUUCCAAAGAUUGUGAGCAUCCAGAACAGUUAUAGUCUAAUUGUGAGAUGCCGCUUUGAAGUUGAUCUUGUUGAGGUCUGCCACCCAAAUAACUGCAAUAUUGGGCUGCUUGCCUACUCCCCAUUGGCGGGUGGCGUUCUCAGCGGAAAGUAUCUUGAUGCUAACUCUGCUGAUGCAAAAAGGAGCAGGCUGAAUCUCUUCCCGGGAUACAUGGAGCGCUACAACGUGUCUUUGGCUAAAGAAGCAGCGGACGAGUAUGUCAAGCUUGCCAAGAAGCAUGGGCUAACACCUGUCCAGCUUGCCCUCGGCUUCGUGCGCGACCGCCCUUUCACAGCUAGCACCAUCAUCGGAGCAACCACCAUGGAUCAGUUAAAGGAGAACAUCGAUGCAUUUACCAGCGCUCCGAGGCCUCUGCCACCGCAAGUCCUCGAUGACAUUGAGAUUCUUUUCAAGAAAUACAAAGAUCCAGCAAUCCUCUAG
rnacentral:rRNA from 1 species